AUGGGAGGUGACCUGCCAGCCAGAAGACACAGGUGAUGAGCUACUAUUUCAGUGAGCGAUACCGCAGUCCGACAGCUUAUUUUAUCUGGAAAAGAGGAGCAGCUGUCAGAAAAGCCAAGUUGUGGGGGAUACUGAUUUGCUAAGGAAGAGAGUUGCAUGGAAAAGUCUCCCACAAGAAAAAGCAUUAUCAGCUUGAAAAUCUUCCUCUAAAAGAAACCGCACCGUGACAACACAAAUGACGGCU